rnacentral:RNase_P_RNA from 1 species
CACAGGACAGGGUGGUGGCUAACGGCCACCCGGGGUGACCCGCGGGACAGUGCCACAGAGAACAGACCGCCGCUACCCUCCAGGUAGCGGUAAGGGUGAAACGGUGGGGUAAGAGCCCACCAGUCCUCGUGGUGACACGAGGAGCUAGGUAAACCCCACCCGGAGCAAGACCAGACAGCGUACGACGGUGUUAGUUCACUGGGAGGGCGGUCCGCCCGAGUGCGCGGGUAGGUUGCUAGAGGCCAUCGGCAACGAUGGUCCGAGAUGGAUGGUCGCCGACU